CCAGGGAUAGACAAGAGACUAGGGUUAUCCCUCCCCAAGCCCUGCCCGAGCAAAGGAAGGGUAAACACUAGCCUCUUGUCUCACUCAGCCUCCAUAUGUCUCUCCAGCAUCCAACACAGUGCUUAACUCUCUAGCUGAGAGGCAGCACAACACACCCACAGAACUAGACUACAUGGAUUCUAGUUCUGACAUUUCCACCAUGUUUCUAUGACCUGGGCCAGUCAUCCAAUCCCUCUGUGCCUCAGUUUCCUCAUCCCUGAAGCACAGCUCUUGUCAAGAAGUGGCUGAUUCUGCCUCCCGCUGUCUUAGAUAAAUGACAAUGGCCAGGUCCUUGGCAAAUCCCUGAACACUGUGGAGCCAGGCCACUGAGGCCUGGGGGGGAUGUGGAAGGCAGGAAGUCAGCUCGGCCUGCGUCCAAGAAGACACAGUCCCGGAACCCCAAACAGUGACUUCCACGCUAGCCUUCUGACUUCAGAUGCUGCUCAUCACGACGCUGAAGGAGUGUGUCUGCGUUCAGUGCCUUAAACCAAGAAGUUUC